rnacentral:tRNA from 1 species
GGCUCUGUGGUGAAGUUCAUGUUGAGUUGCAAGCUCAUUGAUGUACGCUGAAAGUGUACCAGAGUCU